AUUUUUACCUAGCAGGGGAGAUUCCAUGAACACAAAGAUGGUUUUCUCAGGAUGAGGCAUAUACCUCAUCAUUCUGGAUAUGCUGACUCCUGAAAUUUCUCCAAAUAUGAAAAACUCAAUUAUAUAAUUUGUAGUAGUGGGUGAGUGCAUUCAUGCUCACCUC